AUUGAACGCUAGCGGGAUGCCUUACACAUGCAAGUCGAACGAGUGGCGGACGGGUGAGUAAUAUAUCUGAACGUGCCCAGUAGCGGGGGUUAACUACUCGAAAGAGUGGCUAAUACCGCAUACUAUUGCAGCGGCCGAUAUCGGAUUAGCAUGGUGGUGGGGUAAAGGCUCACCAAGGCCACGAUCCGUAGCUGGUGUGAGAGGAAGACCAGACACACUGGGACUGAGACACGGCCCAGACUCCUACGGGAGGCAGCAGUGGGGAAUUUUGGACAAUGGGGGAAACCCUGAUCCAGCCAUCCCGCGUGUAUGAGAAGGCCUUCGGGUUGUAAAGUACUUUUGGCAGAGAAGCGUUACCUACAGAAUAAGCACCGGCUAACUCCGUGCCAGCAGCCGCGGUAAUUC
rnacentral:rRNA from 1 species